GGUGGCUCAGUGGUAGAGUGCUUGCCUCACAAGCAUGAGACCCUGGGUUCGAUUCCUCAGCACCA
rnacentral:tRNA from 1 species